rnacentral:rRNA from 1 species
GACGAACGCUGGCGGCGUGCUUAACACAUGCAAGUCGAACGGUAAGGCCCUUCGGGGUACACGAGUGGCGAACGGGUGAGUAACACGUGGGUGAUCUGCCCUGCACUUCGGGAUAAGCCUGGGAAACUAGGUCUAAUACCGGAUAGGACCCUGGGAUGCAUGUCCUGGGGUGGAAAGCUUUUGCGGUGUGGGAUGGGCCCGCGGCCUAUCAGCUUGUUGGUGGGGUGAUGGCCUACCAAGGCGACGACGGGUAGCCGGACUGAGAGGGUGACCGGCCACACUGGGACUGAGAUACGGCCCAGACUCCUACGGGAGGCAGCAGUGGGGAAUAUUGCACAAUGGGCGCAAGCCUGAUGCAGCGACGCCGCGUGAGGGAUGACGGCCUUCGGGUUGUAAACCUCUUUCAGCACCGACGAAGCGCAAGUGACGGUAGGUGCAGAAGAAGGACCGGCCAACUACGUGCCAGCCGCCGCAGUAA